UAUUUUUUUAGCAAGGCAACUGAAUCCACUGAGCUGUUGAAAGUAGUUGCUUUUGUUUUUUCCAUACCAGUCAGUAAUGCCUAUGCAGAAAGGGUGUUCAGUCAUAUGGAGGAUGUUUGGUCUGAUAAAAGAAACAGACUAUCAGUUGCAAUGGUGAAGUCUGAACUUCAAGUCAGAUUGAAUUUCAAAUUGUCAUGCAAUGAAUUCAAGACAUUCAUUGAAGAACAGAAACCACUGAUAGCUGCAGCAAAGGGAAACGCCAAGUAUAGAUGGAAGACUAGCAAAGAGGGAGGGAAAGGAAGCAUAAGCACCAGUAUCUAAGCAAUCAGUAUUUGGCAUGGAGAGACCGGAGAUAUAAACCGCCCAAGAGAGACGGAGAGAAUGACUGAGAGGACUCGUAUGCCAUCAGCACGUUGAGAUAUUGUUAAAAAAAAGUUUGUGCUGUGUUGAUUUUGUGUUGUAGCAAGGCUACUGUGAAAGCGCUGUGCGCGCGACUUUUUUGUUUUAUUAAUAAACAUACGAGUCCCAGUCACGCAGACCCUGUCUUCUUACUUCCUUUUACUGUCUGAACCUCAUCAAAUGGAUAUUUUCACUUGAUUGGUCGGGUCAUCGAUAUGUCCAGGUUUUUUAUCAGACAUGG